UCAUAUCCUUGGAACUUCGGUAAUAUAGUGUAUUAUCCUUGAAGUCCCAGGGGAACAUAUUUUCCCCACCGAAAAUCAUCAGCUAACAGCUUAGCUCUGUUGCAAUCAAGAGGAAAUGCUGGACUUACUUUAGAUGAGCAGUUUGGAUAACAAUGUGCAGACUCCCCUGUGGAACAGUCAUAAGGAAACCAGCUGACGUAAGAGAAUGAAGACAUCCAAAAGCACUGUUUAAGCAAACUUGAGCUAAAGUAGGUUGAGCAGUUGGUCACAGUCUCUUAGAGCAAAUGGAAACAGCAGCGAAGUACAGAAUGGAAGGAGGGAGCCUCGCUUCUCACCUCUGCGUUAUUACCACUGUGAAGAGAGGGAUGGAAGCAGUGUCUGCAGUCGCAAUCAAGGCAACUUCCCAGUGACUCACAGGUGACAGUCAGGAAUCCUAAAUCAAAAAAAGAAAUGCUGUGAUCAGGAUGCAGCUUUCUGAGGUGCUUAGAAAUGGAAAGAUGCUUUUGGAAACCUUGCUGGACUGAAGAAUUAGACUGAAAUUCCCAGACUCCAAUAAAAAUAUGGCAUAGCAAAGUGCUGGCUAAAUGAUGCCUAAGCAGUCAAACACAUUGUCCUGGCCAUUACUGAAAGCUGCUGGUUCUGUGAUUUCUGCUACUUCUACCAGCAGUGGCUGCAGUCAUAGUGAGCAAGAGGCAUAUAAGAACCACUGAUCUGGAUGAUUUUACUUCAUCUGAAAACUGAGGUAAUGUGUUCUUACAUUUCUCUAAGAAAAACAGGAGUGCACUAACGAGCAUGAAGAAUCUACAGAGCUGAUUGGAGCAAU